ACUUGCGUCGGCAGGACAUAUACUAAAAUUGGAGCGAUACAGAGAUCAGCAGGGCCCUUGCACAAGGAUGACACGCAAAUAUCACUGAUAUAUAUAUUAGUGGUUUUU